rnacentral:rRNA from 1 species
GAUGAACGCUAGCGGCAGGCUUAAUACAUGCAAGUCGUGGGGCAGCAGCUCUGUAGCAAUACAGAGGCUGGCGACCGGCAAACGGGUGCGGAACACGUACACAACCUUCCUUUAAGUGGAGAAUAGCCCGGGGAAACCCGGAUUAAUACUCCGUAACAUAAUGAAGUGGCAUCACUUUAUUAUUAUAGCUCCGGCGCUUUAAGAUGGGUGUGCGACUGAUUAGGCAGUUGGCGGGGUAACGGCCCACCAAACCUACGAUCAGUAACUGGUGUGAGAGCACGACCAGUCACACGGGCACUGAGACACGGGCCCGACUCCUACGGGAGGCAGCAGUAAGGAAUAUUGGUCAAUGGACGCAAGUCUGAACCAGCCAUGCCGCGUGGAGGAUGAAGGUCCUCUGGAUUGUAAACUUCUUUUAUCUGGGAAGAAACCCACGAAUCUUUUGUGGUGACGGUACCAGAGAA